rnacentral:rRNA from 1 species
UACGUAGGGACCGAGCGUUGUCCGGAAUCAUUGGGCGUAAAGAGCGUGUAGGCGGCCAGCUAAGUCCUGCGUGAAAUCUCGGGGCUCAACCCCGAGCGGUCGUGGGAAACUGGUUGGCUAGAGUGCGGGAGAGGAGAGUGGAAUUCCUGGUGUAGCGGUGAAAUGCGCAGAUAUCAGGAAGAACACCCGUGGCGAAGGCGGCUCUCUGGAACGCAACUGACGCUGAGACGCGAAAGCGUGGGGAGCAAACAGG